UAACUUUUUUCCUAGUCAAAUUUAUUUAAGUUUGACCAAGUUUAUAGAAAACAAAUAUUAGCAUUUUCACCACAAAACAAACAUAUUACCAAAAAUAUAUUCAAUUUUAGAUUUAAUGAAACUGAUUUGGUGUUUUAGAUGUUGCUAAUUUUUUCUAUAAAUUUGGUCAAACUUGGUAAAGUUUGACUAGGAAAAAAGUCAA
rfam:Oryza glaberrima chromosome 11 Oglab11_0030_12, whole genome shotgun sequence.